GUUGGUGCAAGACUGCUGAUAUUACUUCAUCGCUUGUUCUGGACGUUUGGCCUUCAAUAUUACGCAAAAAUGAGGCAACCCAACACACACCAUCAACUGCACCGUUUUUUGUCCGCCGGAAGAUCAGGCCUUGUGCCCCGUUGGUGCUGUCAGCAGUGACAGUUCCCAGAUGGAGGCCGCUACUGUAUGAGAGAUUGGGUUUCUCACAGAAAAAAAAGAAAAGAGAAAACCUCCCUCUCUCAAUCCAAACCGUCCUCCCGAAGCCUCUGCAGGCACUUGUGAGCCCUGACGCUGCGGAGAAGAGCCGCCACCACGUGUCAAGUGUGCACGGAAUAUACAUCACAGAAGGAAUUACCGCCCACAGUGGACAGCGCAGUGGGAGAUAAUGAUCAUGACCAGCAGCAUCUGGCUCAAACUGUCAAUGCAAAAAGAAAAGCAUCUCAGUGGUGCAGUUUUCAGGCACUUGCUGAUUUAAGGAGUGGGUGUCAGGUUGAUUUCAUGUUUAUUGGCAACACGAAAGGGUCCGGGGGUCUGCCGGUGUUAGGGCCUCUCACGGGUGGCCUGGCUGCAGGCGGCUGGUGAGCUCCACCACACCCCGCUGCUUUCAUUGCUUUUCAUUGCUUUCAGUGCUUUCUCUUGAUCAUGUUGGAGAGAAAAGGCCGCACCUUGAUUAGAUGUUGGUGAGGGUCGCCGACGCUGUGGGGUUGGAUCCCUGUUCCAGUAUCAGCACCACACUGGACCAUGCGGACGGUGCAGCUUUAUCAGUGUUUAACUAACAGGGACGGUUUUAGAGAACUGUUAUUGUAGAUUAUUCACUGUUGAGGUUCAGUCAGGACAAGCACAGCUUAAGGGAUUCAGUGGCACCAAAACAAUUGCAGCAAAUGGCCAGAGAGUGGACAUAACAACAGGAGGCUGGAAAUUAUUACAGAGCCUAAAUAGAUCACCAAAUUUCCAGAUGUUAUAUCAUAAUCAGGAGUGCAUCAGUUUGGAAGGAACAAAACAAACGUAAGCUGCAUCACUGUUUCCAUUGUUCAUCCUAAAAGCUGAAGCUUUAAGUGGAAGCUUGUGGUUUUCCAUGCGGGGAAGAGUUCAGCAGAGAUAACUACUGACACUAAAAAUACUAUUAAGUAAGUCUAAUUUUGCUUAUCUAUUGUUUUAAACUAAAAAUAAUGUUUUUUCUAAGAAUUAACCAAUUAACAUUCCCUUAUUAUGUUAUAUUGCAUUAUUGUCUGUGACCUUGUUUUGUGUCUAUUCUAUUCUUAUAUACAGCUCUAGAAAAAAAAGACACCACCUAAAAAUAAUGAGUUUCUUUAAUUUUACCAAAUUGAAAACCUCUGGAAUAUAAUCAAGAGGAAGAUGGAUGAUCACAAACCAUCAAACCACCGAACUGAACUGCUUGAAUUUCUGCACCAGGAGUAAAGCAGCAUAAAGUUAUCCAAAAGCAGUGUGUAAGACUGGUGGAGGAGAACAUGAGGCCAAGAUGCAUGAAAAAACUGUGAUUAAAACCAGGGUUAUUCCACCAAAUAUUGAUUUCUAAACUCUUAAAACUUUAUGAAUAUGAACUUGUUUUCUUUGCAUUAUUUGAGGUCUGAAAGCUCUGCAACUUUUUUGUUAUUUCUCAUUUUCUGGACAUAAAUGCUCUAAAUGAGAAUAUUUUUAUUUGGAAUUUGGGAGAAAUGUUGUCUGUAGUUUUUUAGAAUAAAACAACAAUGUUCAUUUAACUCAAACAUAAACCUAUAAAUAGCAAAAUCAGAGAAACUGAUUCAGAAACUGAAGUGGUCUCAAUUGUUUUCUAAAGCUGUAUCUAUAAUUUUAUCAUCUGUAUGCCUUGUCCA